AGUGAACGCUGGCGGUAGGCCUAACACAUGCAAGUCGAACGGCAGCACAGGAGAGCUUGCUCUCUGGGUGGCGAGUGGCGGACGGGUGAGGAAUACAUCGGAAUCUACUCUGUCGUGGGGGAUAACGUAGGGAAACCUACGCUAAUACCGCAUACGACCUACGGGUGAAAGCAGGGGACCUUCGGGCCUUGCGCGAUUGAAUGAUCCGGUGUCGGAUUAGCUAGUUGGCGGGGUAAAGGCCCACCAAGGAGACGAGCCGUAGCUGUUCGGAGAGGAUGAGCAGCAACACUGGAACUGAGACACGGUCCAGACUCCUACGGGAGGCAGCAGUGGGGAAUAUCGGACAAUGGGCGCAAGCCUGAUCCAGCCAUACCGCGUGGGUGAAGAAGGCCUUCGGGUUGUAAAGCCCUUUUGUUGGGAAAGAAAUCCAGCUGGCUAAUACCCGGUUGGGAUGACGGUACCCAAAGAAUAAGCACCGGCUAACUUCGUGCCAGCCGCCGCAGUAA
rnacentral:rRNA from 1 species